UCCUGGUUAGCUCAGUUGAUAGAGCGCUCCACCUGUAAUGGAGAGGUCCCGGGUUCGAUACCCGGACCAGGCG
rnacentral:tRNA from 1 species